rnacentral:rRNA from 1 species
AGAGUUUGAUCAUGGCUCAGGACGAACGCUGGCGGCGUGCCUAACACAUGCAAGUCGAACGGGGUAGCAAUACCCAGUGGCGAACGGGUGCGUAACACGUGAGGAACAUACCCUUCGGCGGGGGAUAGCCGGCCCAACGGCCGGGUAAUACCGCGUACGACCUUCGGGUGGCAUCACCUGGGGGUGAAAGCAGCAAUGCGCCGAUGGAGUGCCUCGCGGCCUAUCAGCUAGUUGGUGAGGUAACGGCUCACCAAGGCGACGACGGGUAGCUGGUCUGAGAGGAUGAUCAGCCACAUUGGGACUGAGACACGGCCCAGACUCCUACGGGAGGCAGCAGUGGGGAAUCUUGCGCAAUGGCCGAAAGGCUGACGCAGCGACGCCGCGUGUGGGAUGAAGGUCUUCGGAUUGUAAACCACUGUCGGGAGGGACGAAGCUCUGACGGUACCUCCAAAGGAAGCACCGGCUAACUCUGUGCCAGCAGCCGCGGUAAUACAGAGGGUGCGAGCGUUGUCCGGAAUCACUGGGCGUAAAGGGCGCGUAGGCGGCCUGGUAAGUCGGGGGUGAAACGCUGCGGCUCAACCGCAGCACUGCCUUCGAGACUGUCAGGCUUGAGCACGGUAGAGGCAGAUGGAAUUCCCGGUGUAGCGGUGGAAUGCGUAGAGAUCGGGAAGAACAUCGGUGGCGAAGGC